rnacentral:lncRNA from 1 species
CAACAUAAAAGGACAUUGGAAGCAUUCUGAAUCCUCAAGAUGAGCGCUCUGCAAAUACAAAGCUUGACCGCUUCUGAUCACCUUGAGUGCUACCUGCCCGGUCCAGGCCAAUGCCUUCUAUUACCUUAUCAUUGCAAUAGCCUCCUAACUAGUCUCCUUGCUGCUGCUCUGUACUCUCUACAGUUGAAGAUCCAGAACAGAUUUUAUCUUGAUUGAAAAUUAGAUUUUCAAACACAUUGAUGCCCACAAUGACUGUUUCACCAGCUGCUGAAGACCAGAAUUUUGGGAACCUUUGCCCCAGAGAAACCGUAAACACUGGCCAGAGAGAAUCAAAUUAAGAAAUGUUGGAUCACAUUUAAUUCUGCUGCAUUAGCAUUAAUUUUUCCAUAUCUUUGCAGAAAAAUGCUGGGGAUUAGAUGCAUUAUUAAAUUUAUUAUUCUAAUUCUUAUUAUUGUUGUUUGUUGGGUUCUUGAGAGUGCUUUUAUUUCCCUCCUUACUCUUCCUAUAAUAAAUUACUU